UCCUACGGGUGGCUGCAGUGAGGAAUAUUCGGCAAUGGGGGGAACCCUGACCGAGCAACGCCGCGUGGAGGAUGACGGUUUUUGGAUUGUAAACUCCUUUUCUCAGGGAAGAGUGAGGACGGUACCUGAGGAAUAAGUCACGGCUAACUACGUGCCAGCAGCCGCGGUAAUACGUAGGUGGCAAGCGUUAUCCGGAAUUACUGGGCGUAAAGCGCACGCAGGUGGCUUGCUAAGACUGACGUGAAAGGUCCUGGCUUAACUGGGAGAGGUCGUUGGAGACUGGUAGGCUUGAGGCGAGGAGAGGGGUGUAGAAUUCCCGGUGUAGUGGUGGAAUGCGUAGAGAUCGGGAGGAAUACCAGUGGCGAAAGCGGCACCCUGGCCUUGGCCUGACGCUCAGGUGCGAAAGCGUGGGGAGCGAACGGGAUUAGAUACCCUGGUAGUC
rnacentral:rRNA from 1 species